GUGUGAUCUAGCUACUAAAUAUGUUAACCUAUUGUGGUCAGAGUUAUCUUGGAAGAUCUAGGUGGCUAGUCUGGUGUCUCUUUCCUUGUUCACUACUUCAUGUGUGUUCUACAACUUGCACAGUUUGUCAAAGAGGGCAGUCUUCCUCCAGAGAGGAAGAUUUUUCAUUAGUCAAGGGUAUAUGAUUAGCUGCUUUUCCCUAUGGGAGCCCCCAAACAGGUCCCCUAAUUUUACUUGCUAAAGGAAUCAGUUACUGCCCCUUAGCACUAAAAAAACUCAAGAAGAAGGAAGACCAGUUGGAACAUCUUCUGGAUAUAUGCCCAGGAGAGGUAUUGC
ensembl:misc_RNA predicted gene, 22552